GACGCUUUACAAACUUUACCUCAAAGUUGGAAUUUAAAAGCAACAAUCUCUUAAUAUUUGAAAUAAGGAUACUAAAGGGUGAGACACCGACAUGGUUAGCAUGCAAAGCUGCAACAACAGUACUUGAAUCAGUUUCAAAUAUUAUGUUCUCUAAGUUCAUAUUGCUUGCAUCCUUCAUGGCCUCUAAAAGAACUAGGGCCUUUGCUUCAAGAAUUGAGUAAGCACUACUUAUCCAAUAUGUUCCUGCACGCCUAAACAGUUCGUCGUCAUCUCGGAUGCACC
rnacentral:lncRNA from 1 species